ACCUGGCUGGCUCAGUCUGUGGAGCACGUGACUCGUGAUCUCAGGGUUGUGAGUUCGAGCCCCAUGUUGGGUG
rnacentral:tRNA from 1 species